CGGAGCGCCUGCAGAACUGCUGCUGUUUUGCGUGACUGCGAUGCCACGGGACAGUGUUCCUGCAGAACCUGCCACCCAGGCGGCCGCCAAAGCCGGGGCGCAGAGCUGCGCCUCCCUAAGCACCUCAGCGCAGGAGGCUUCGGAGCAGCUAAAGCGAUAGACAGGAGAUGGAGACACACAGAGAAACAGUAUUGCUCCGUCAUCAAUGAUGCUCUCACGAGGUGUCAUGGCUUGAACCUGAUAAAGCAUUUGCUUUAUUGAGUGAGAUUCUCCCCAGCCCCAAGAAUUUAUGUUUUGGUGGAAAGAAACAUUAAAGAGUCA